rnacentral:rRNA from 1 species
UCGAGCGAUGAAGCUUCCUUCGGGAAGUGGAUUAGCGGCGGACGGGUGAGUAACACGUGGGUAACCUGCCUCAAAGUGGGGGAUAGCCUUCCGAAAGGAAGAUUAAUACCGCAUAAUAUAAGAGAAUCGCAUGAUUUUCUUAUCAAAGAUUUAUUGCUUUGAGAUGGACCCGCGGCGCAUUAGCUAGUUGGUAAGGUAACGGCUUACCAAGGCAACGAUGCGUAGCCGACCUGAGAGGGUGAUCGGCC